rnacentral:tRNA from 1 species
GGAGAGUACAGCUCAGUGGUAGAGUGCGUGCUUAGCAUGCACAAGGUCCUGGGUUCAAUCCCCACUACCUCCA